rnacentral:rRNA from 1 species
CUACGGGAGGCAGCAGUGGGGAAUCUUGGACAAUGGGGGCAACCCUGAUCCAGCCAUGCCGCGUGAGUGAUGAAGGCCUUAGGGUCGUAAAGCUCUUUCGCCAGGGAUGAUAAUGACAGUACCUGGUAAAGAAACCCCGGCUAACUCCGUGCCAGCAGCCGCGGUAAUACGGAGGGGGUUAGCGUUGUUCGGAAUUACUGGGCGUAAAGCGCACGUAGGCGGACUGGAAAGUUGGGGGUGAAAUCCCGGGGCUCAACCUCGGAACUGCCUCCAAAACUACUAGUCUAGAGUUCGAGAGAGGUGAGUGGAAUUCCGAGUGUAGAGGUGAAAUUCGUAGAUAUUCGGAGGAACACCAGUGGCGAAGGCGGCUCACUGGCUCGAUACUGACGCUGAGGUGCGAAAGUGUGGGGAGCAAACAGGAUUAGAUACCCUGGUAGUCCACACCGUAAACGAUGAAUGCCAGUCGUCAGCAAGCAUGCUUGUUGGUGACACACCUAACGGAUUAAGCAUUCCGCCUGGGGAGUACGGUCGCAAGAUUAAAACUCAAAGGAAUUGACGG